rnacentral:rRNA from 1 species
CCCUUAGAUGUUCUGGGCCGCACGCGCGCUACACUGAUGCAUUCAACAAGCCUAGCCUUGACCGAGAGGUCCGGGUAAUCUUUGAAACUGCAUCGUGAUGGGGCUAGAUUAUUGCAAUUAUUAAUCUUCAACGAGGAAUGCCUAGUAAGCGUGAUUCAUCAAAUCGCGUUGAUUACGUCCCUGCCCUUUGUACACACCGCCCGUCGCUCCUACCGAUUGAAUGAUCCGAUGAAUAUCAUGGAUUGAGGAUGCAAGCAGGUUCGCCUGUCUUCAUCUUCGAGAAGUGAAGUAAAUCUUAUCAUUUAGAGGAAGGAGAAGUCGUAACA